UGGGGAAUAUUGCACAAUGGGCGCAAGCCUGAUGCAGCCAUGCCGCGUGUGUGAAGAAGGCCUUCGGGUUGUAAAGCACUUUCAGCGAGGAGGAAGGUGGUGAACUUAAUACGUUCAUCAAUUGACGUUACUCGCAGAAGAAGCACCGGCUAACUCCGUGCCAGCAGCCGCGGUAAUACGGAGGGUGCAAGCGUUAAUCGGAAUACUGGGCGUAAAGCGCNCGCAGGCGGUUUGUUAAGUCAGAUGUGAAAUCCCCGGGCUCAACCUGGGAACUGCAUUUGAAACUGGCAAGCUAGAGUCUCGUAGAGGGGGGUAGAAUUCCAGGUGUAGCGGUGAAAUGCGUAGAGAUCUGGAGGAAUACCGGUGGCGAAGGCGGCCCCCUGGACGAAGACUGACGCUCAGGUGCGAAAAGC
rnacentral:rRNA from 1 species